AUCAGUUUGGCAGAUGGAUGCGCUGGAUUUAGGAUCCGUUUAGAUAGUGGUUGGCUAUAGCUGGUA
rnacentral:tRNA from 1 species